rnacentral:rRNA from 1 species
CCGCGGUGAUACGGAGGGUGCAAGCGUUAAUCGGAAUUACUGGGCGUAAAGCGCACGCAGGCGGUUUGUUAAGUCAGAUGUGAAAUCCCCGCGCUUAACGUGGGAACUGCAUUUGAAACUGGCAAGCUAGAGUCUUGUAGAGGGGGGUAGAAUUCCAGGUGUAGCGGUGAAAUGUGUAGAGAUCUGGAGGAAUACCGGUGGCGAAGGCGGCCCCCUGGACAAAGACUGACGCUCAGGUGCGAAAGCGUGGGGAGCAAACAGGAUUAGAUACCCUGGUAGUCCACGCUGUAAACGAUGUCGACUUGGAGGUUGUGCCCUUGAGGCGUGGCUUCCGGAGCUAACGCGUUAAGUCGACCGCCUGGGGAGUACGGCCGCAAGGUUAAAACUCAAAUGAAUUGACGGGGGCCCGCACAAGCGGUGGAGCAUGUGGUUUAAUUCGAUGCAACGCGAAGAACCUUACCUACUCUUGACAUCCACGGAAUUCGCCAGAGAUGGCUUAGUGCCUUCGGGAACCGUGAGACAGGUGCUGCAUGGCUGUCGUCAGCUCGUGUUGUGAAAUGUUGGGUUAAGUCCCGCAACGAGCGCAACCCUUAUCCUUUGUUGCCAGCACGUAAUGGUGGGAACUCAAAGGAGACUGCCGGUGAUAAACCGGAGGAAGGUGGGGAUGACGUCAAGUCAUCAUGGCCCUUACGAGUAGGGCUACACACGUGCUACAAUGGCAUAUACAAAGAGAAGCGAACUCGCGAGAGCAAGCGGACCUCAUAAAGUAUGUCGUAGUCCGGAUUGGAGUCUGCAACUCGACUCCAUGAAGUCGGAAUCGCUAGUAAUCGUAGAUCAGAAUGCUACGGUGAAUACGUUCCCGGGCCUUGUACACACCGCCCGUCACACCAUGGGAGUGGGUUGCAAAAGAAGUAGGUAGCUUAACCUUCGGGAGGGCGCUUACCACUUUGUGAUUCAUGACUG